GUACUCAUUUCAGCAACACAUACUAAAAUUGAAAUAUGAUACAGAGAUUAGCAUGGCCACUGUAGAAGGAUGACAAGCAAAUUUGUGAAGCAGUCCAUAUAAAA
rnacentral:snRNA from 1 species